rnacentral:ncRNA from 1 species
GGAAAGGCUGAGAACAGGACUAGUACAGCCUGAGGCGGAGUUCAGAGAGUCGGGGAAGGUGUGAGCCGACACUUGCGCAAGGCGGGAAUGGACCUGGGAGCCGCAAACCGAAAGGUCAAUUCCGAGUAGGCUUUGCCGCAGGGGCAGCGUUAUCAGAGUCCAGGGUAUCGCCAGGUUGGGCUGUACCUGAAAAGAGAUGGCCGAAAAGGCCAAAAGAGGGUGGCACCGCGAAGGUUAAACCUCUCGCCCCUUGG